AAUAGAUACCCAGGUAGUCCACUCCGUAAACGUUGGGAACUAGUUGUGGGGGCCUUUCUACGGUCUCCGUGACGCAGCUAACGCAUUAAGUUCCCCGCCUGGGGAGUACGGCCGCAAGGCUAAAACUCAAAGGAAUUGACGGGGACCCGCACAAGCGGCGGAGCAUGCGGAUUAAUUCGAUGCAACGCGAAGAACCUUACCAAGGCUUGACAUAUACCGGAAACGGCUGGAAACAGUCGCCCCCUUGUGGUCGGUAUACAGGUGGUGCAUGGUUGUCGUCAGCUCGUGUCGUGAGAUGUUGGGUUAAGUCCCGCAACGAGCGCAACCCUCGUUCUAUGUUGCCAGCACGUUAUGGUGGGAACUCAUGGAAUACUGCCGGGGUCAACUCGGAGGAAGGUGGGGAUGACGUCAAAUCAUCAUGCCCCUUAUGUCUUGGGCUUCACGCAUGCUACAAUGGCCGGUACAAUGGGCUGCGAUACCGCGAGGUGGAGCGAAUCCCAAAAAGCCGGUCCAGUUCGGAUUGUAGUCUGCAACGUCGACUACAU
rnacentral:rRNA from 1 species